UGUAGUUUUCCAUGAUAGCUCUCAUCACGUCAGCAAUCACCCUCCUAAGCAGCUGACUCAGGACCACGGAGGCCUUCUAUGCAGACAAAACAAGGAUGAAGGCUCUGGAAACCUAAUGGCUACAAGACAUCCCAACAGGAACACGCAGAGCCCAUUAAAGUCUGACUGCUGCCAGACGACAGCCUCGGGCAGGUCGCUGUGAGCGGGCACUACCGCAGAGGGCCCCUCAGAGGGGACUGGACUGCAGCGGACCUUAAAGGGGACAUGAAGAAGUCAAGCUGAUACUGACCAGGAAGCUUCUCCCAGCUGGCUAGCCUUCACGGCCUUGGAUAGACAGUCCUGGAUCGAAGGUGCUAUGCAGGCUGCUGAGGAAGGAAAGCCACUGACAGUCUUACCCAGCUGUGAAUCCUGUGAGCUGACAACCUUGGUAACUCUGCGUCCAUCGGUGCAAUCAUGGCGCAGACGCCAUGGGAGAGGCCAUCGCUUUCCAUUUGGAUUUAAGGCCCAUUCCACAGGAAGAAAUGCACGUCCGGUACAGCAAAACUGGCCAAGAACCCAUUGUUGGGAGCUCAUCGCAGUUUACUCAAUGGACGUAGCAUCAAACUGUCAUCUGAAUUCCCUCCUCUCUCUCUACGGAGCAAGAAGGCCUCACCAGAUGCCAAGAAGAUGCUGGCACUGUGCUUCUUCCAGCCUGUAGAUCCAUGAGCUAAAUAAAACUCUCUGCUUUACA